UAUACUUAUGUGAGUAGUAGCAGCAGAAUCUACCCACCAAGUAUCCUUAGGUACCGAAAUUAAAUUAACUUCAAAACAAACAAGAGAAAGAGAUGUACCCUUUUUCACAUGCCAAGCGUGGUACUUGGUACAAUCUUUCUUCAUGUGAUUAGCCCCCUUACAGAAGAAGCAACCUCAUUCUGUAGUUUCAACCUUAGGUUCCUUAUUUUGCUUCUUCUGGGGCCUUGCAACCGCAAUUUCCUUACCUUUCCUCUUCUUAUUAUCUUUAGAAGAGGAUGCCAAAUGAGCACUUUCAGUCUUAUCUUGCUUUAUCCUUUCCUCUCUUGCACACAAUGUUAAAUGAGCUCAUUAAGAGUCCAUUUCUCCUUCAGGCUGUUGUAACUGACCUUCAACUGAUUAAAGUAUGCAGGAAGAGAGAUCAAAACUAAGUACACAAGCAGUUCCU
rnacentral:lncRNA from 1 species